CAGCCAGUGCUGCAGGUCAGGGGCCGCCAUCCCCCAGAGCUGCUGUGAGACAUCGACCAGCACAUCAGUGGGCUGCUUUCCGCUGGUUUUAUUUGCAUGUAUUUUGGUCUGUUUCCCUACCUAGAAAAUAAACUCCCUGUGGCAGAAGUUUUAUCUCUCUGCUCCCUUCUUGGUUCCCAGCUCUUGGAACAGAACCAGACUUCUGGCCGGGGCUCAGUCAGUGCUUGCAAGAUGUUUGUUGGCACCAGGCUGUGCCAGGAGAGCAUCAUUAUAAACUGCUGAUCUACUGUUUCUUUGUCAAACGGGAGGAGAUAACAUGAGGGUCAUGAGAAAUGUUUGCAGACGGAGUGAAUGCCUUGAAAGUGCUGCGACCAGGUGCUGACACCCGGAGGUCUGGCUGCUCAAAGUGUUAGCUGACACGGAAGACACACGGACUUUCCCUCCAUUCCCCAAAACUCCCCUUCCCUGACUCGUCAGCUGCAUAAAAACCCUCUCCUUAUCUCUUUGUCAAGGGGAUUUGAGAAAUCUUGCUGUCUUGUCUUCUUGCUUUGGCCAAAUGGAAUAAACCUUUCUCUGUCUCCAGA
rnacentral:lncRNA from 10 species